ensembl:misc_RNA Y_RNA Y RNA
GGCUGGUCCCAGUGCAGUGGUGUUUACAACUAAUUGAUCACAACCAGUUACAGAUUUCUUUGUUCCUUCUCCACUCCCACUGCUUCACUUGACUAACCUAAU